rnacentral:rRNA from 1 species
CCCCAUAGUCUGGGAUACCACUUGGAAACAGGUGCUAAUACCGGAUAAGAAAGCGGAUCGCAUGAUCAGCUUUUAAAAGGCGGCGUAAGCUGUCGCUAUGGGAUGGCCCCGUGGUGCAUUAGCUAGUUGGUAAGGUAAAGGCUUACCAAGGCGAUGAUGCAUAGCCGAGUUGAGAGACUGAUCGGCCACAUUGGGACUGAGACACGGCCCAAACUCCUACGGGAGGCAGCAGG